CAUUAGUUAUGCAUUCUGCAUGUACAAACUGCAGUUAUCAGAAUUAAAGCAAAUGCAGAUAUCCCUAUCUAUCCUCAUUGAAUGCUGUCUUGACAGUCUACUUCAGUGCAGACCCCUCAGAUCCACAAAAGGCCUCCAAUCAUUGUGAGCUAUGGGCAGGACCAAACAUCUGGGGAAGGAUGGAGCGUCAAUCCAGAGCCUCUCAGCCAGUCUGGAAGGGUGACUCGGCUGAUAGAGAGAAAAAAUGAUGACGUGAUCUCAUCCUCCAGUUCUGAUGACUUUUCCAUCUACUCCUUCACUGACUGUGAAUCGGAGUGUGAUGAUGAGGAUCAUGAAAGCAGGACACCACCUCUGAAAGUUGAGAAUGGAAAGGUGACAAAGCUUGACGUGAGGGAUAUGGACGAGGAUGAUGAUCUGUCUCUCCACUCCUUCGAUGAGUCAGACUUCCUGAGCCCAGGGAAGGUCUCAGGUCCUGUAUCUGUCAAGAAUGGCCUCUCUCCUCUUGUGACCUCAGCACACCGGACCCAGGCUGAAGCCCUACGGGCCCUGCCCUCUGCUGUAGGCUCUCCCUACCCAGUAAAUGUCCCAAGGCCUCUGACUCCUCUCAGCCCUGUCAUUAUCGCUCCGCCCCGAACAGAGAACUUCCUAUACCGCCACAGCCCUCGCCUGGCUCCCAUCACCAACCUGAGCGAGACCGGCAGGAAGGUGCUCCAGGAA